UGAGCUAAUCUAGGGACCUGGGAUAAUUCUAGAGCCUCUUCCCAGUAGAGCUCUCUGGCAGUGCUACGUCUGAUUAUAAACUACUACCACUGUUCUUGUCAAAAUGCUUUUUACAUUUUCUUGUUUUACCGAAAAAGUUCACUCUUUCCUUCAAAAGGCUUCUCCCACCAGGACAGCAGCAUGAGGGCAGGCACAGCAGUUCAGCAGCAUGGCUUGGAUUAAACCCUUGCUGAAUGGUGGAGAGAGAAAGGGAGAAAGACAAGACUAUCUGGUUUGCCACACUGCUGGAUUCACAAAGGCACACACAAGUUACA
rnacentral:lncRNA from 1 species